rnacentral:rRNA from 1 species
UAGGGAAUCUUCGGCAAUGGGGGGAACCCUGACCGAGCAACGCCGCGUGAGUGAAGAAGGUUUUCGGAUCGUAAAGCUCUGUUGUUAAGGAAGAACGAGUGUGAGAAUGGAAAGUUCAUGCUGUGACGGUACUUAACCAGAAAGGGACGGCUAACUACGUGCCAGCAGCCGCGGUAAUACGUAGGUCCCGAGCGUUGUCCGGAUUUAUUGGGCGUAAAGCGAGCGCAGGCGGUUAGAUAAGUCUGAAGUUAAAGGCAGUGGCUCAACCAUUGUAGGCUUUGGAAACUGUUUAACUUGAGUGCAGAAGGGGAGAGUGGAAUUCCAUGUGUAACGGUGAAAUGCGUAGAUAUAUGGAGGAACACCAGUGGCGAAGGCGACUCUCUGGUCUGUAACUGACGCUGAGGUUCGAAAGCGUGGGUAGCAAACAGG